UGGGGAAUAUUGCGCAAUGGGCGAAAGCCUGACGCAGCGACGCCGCGUGAGGGAUGAAGGUUUUCGGAUCGUAAACCUCUGUCAGAAGGGAAGAAACCGCACUGUGCUAAUCAGCAGUGCCUUGACGGUACCUUCAAAGGAAGCACCGGCUAACUCCGUGCCAGCAGCCGCGGUAAUACGGAGGGUGCAAGCGUUAAUCGGAAUUACUGGGCGUAAAGCGCACGUAGGCUGCUUUGUAAGUCAGGGGUGAAAUCCCACGGCUCAACCGUGGAACUGCCUUUGAUACUGCUUAGCUUGAAUCCGGGAGAGGGUGGCGGAAUUCCAGGUGUAGGAGUGAAAUCCGUAGAUAUCUGGAGGAACAUCAGUGGCGAAGGCGGCCACCUGGACCGGUAUUGACGCUGAGGAACGAAAGCGUGGGUAGCAAACAGG
rnacentral:rRNA from 1 species